ensembl:lncRNA
CGGGGGUACGGUGGCCCUGAAGUGCAAACCACAAAAACAAAUCACAAAACGCACAACAAAUUGAAAAGCGCAACAACAAAUUGAAAAGCGCAAAAACAAAUUGAAAAGCGCAAAAACAAAUUCACUAAACGCAAAAACAAAUUGAAAAGCGCAAAAACAAAUUCACUAAACGCACAACAAAUUGAAAAGCGCAAAAACAAAUUGAAAAGCGCAAAAACAAAUUGAAAAGCGCAAAAACAAAUUCACUAAACGCAAAAACAAAUUGAAAAGCGCAAAAACAAAUUCACUAAACGCAAAAACAAAUUGAAAAGCGCAAAAACAAAUCACAAACCGCACAACAAAUUGAAAAGCGCAAAAACAAAUUGAAAAGCGCAAAAACAAAUUCACUAAACGCAAAAACAAAUUGAAAAGCGCAUAAACAAAUUCACUAAACGCAAAAACAAAUUGAAAAACGCAAAACAAAUUGAAAAGCGCAACAACAAAUUGAAAAGCGCAAAAACAAAUUGAAAAGCGCAAAAACAAAUUCACUAAACGCAAAAACAAAUUGAAAAGCGCAACAACAAAUUCACUAAACGCAAAAACAAAUUGAAAAGCGCAAAACAAAUUGAAAAGCGCAAAAACAAAUUCACUAAACGCAAAAACAAAUUGAAAAGCGCAAAAACAAAUUCACUAAACGCAAAAACAAAUUGAAAAACGCAAAACAAAUUGAAAAGCGCAACAACAAAUUGAAAAGCGCAAAAACAAAUUGAAAAGCGCAAAAACAAAUUCACUAAACGCAAAAACAAAUUGAAAAGCGCAACAACAAAUUCACUAAACGCAAAAACAAAUUGAAAAGCGCAAAACAAAUUGAAAAGCGCAAAAACAAAUUGAAAAGCGCAACAACAAAUUGAAAAGCGCAAAAACAAAUUGAGAAGCACAAUUACAUUAAGAAAACCGGAAAGGGUAGGUACCAGUCGGCAACAGGAGACAUCACUGAUUGGAUGUCCGCGCUGUUCGUCUUUGGAACCGGAAGUUACUCUGCCUGUAGCGCAUUUCGUUUGAAGAAGAACGGCGGAAUGUUUUGUCCUAGCUAUGGGAAAAAGCUGGUUGAGGAGUCACCAAACUUUUGCAGCGGCUGUGGCGAGAGGCUUUAUCACGCAUCUUGCAUCGGAGACACUUCACUCCCAUUGAAUAAAUGUCGGCUUGAUGACCAUUAAAAAGGGUGGUUUGAAGCCAUACCGUGGAAAAACUAUUUUCCUAACAACAGACCCUGACGCUACUGCCACAAGUCUGCUCAAUCAAGCUGUUAAAAAAAUGAAGGACUUUAACAAAGAUCUAAAAGAUGGACCUUUCCUUCUUCUGUAUCCGGAUGGCACUGAGGUCAUUACUGUCCCUGGAACACAAAGACCAUUUACACUUGAGGCUUAUAAGGCUGAAGUUGGCAAGCCUUAUCAAAGAAUCACUGUUUUCAUCUGCUUGAAGAGUGACUUUGAAGAUGUUGGAGAAAACUCAGACUUGUCUGACUCUGACCCAGAGAUUGUUAUUAAAAGGCCCUCUGAGUUUGAUCUUGCUGAUACACUGCCAUGGGAACUUCAACAUGAAAGCAGUCCUUUACAGAAAGCGGCAGAAUAUGAGAAGGGUGCUGGGGAUCUUGUGCUUGCUAAUGAAGUACAACAGCUGCCAGGCAAGAUGAGUACUUUUUAGCAGGAAAGAUGAUCGCUGUAUCC